rnacentral:rRNA from 1 species
UACGUAGGGGGCAAGCGUUGUCCGGAAUCAUUGGGCGUAAAGAGCGUGUAGGCGGCCCGAUAAGUCCGCUGUGAAAGUCCAGGGCUCAACCCUGGGAUGCCGGUGGAUACUGUCGGGCUCGAGUCCGGAAGAGGAGUGUGGAAUUCCUGGUGUAGCGGUGAAAUGCGCAGAUAUCAGGAGGAACACCAAUGGCGAAGGCAGCACUCUGGGACGUGACUGACGCUGAGGCGCGAAAGUGUGGGGAGCAAACAGG